GAUGAACGCUGGCGGCGUGCUUAACACAUGCAAGUCGAACGAAGCAUUUGCGACAGAUUUUUUCGGACUGAAGUUGCUCAUGACUGAGUGGCGUACGGGUGAGUAACGCGUGGGUAACCUGCCUUGUACUGGGGGAUAUCAGCUGGCAACGGCUGGUAAUACCGCAUAAGCGCACAAUGUUGCAUGACGUGGUGUGAAAAACUCCGGUGGUAUAAGUUGGACCCGCGUCUGAUUAGCUAGUUGGUGAGCUAUCAGCACACCGAGGCGACGAUCAGUAGCCGAGCUGAGAGGGCGCCCGGCCGCAUUGGGAGUGAGACACGACCCGGACUCCUUCGGGAGGGAGCGGUAGGGAGUAUUAGACAAGGGAGGAAACUCUAGUGCGGCGACGGCGCGUGAAGGAAGAAGUAAUGGAUAGUGAAAAGCUCUACUAACAGGGAAGAUAGUGGCGGUUCCUGGAAGAGUAGCCCCGGCUAAAUACCUG
rnacentral:rRNA from 1 species